rnacentral:lncRNA from 1 species
CUAAACCAGACUUUUAAUCAAGAGAGAAAGACUAUACCAUGAAAAGUACAAUUGCCAGCAUUUCCAUGGAAACUGGAGCACAAAGGGGCUGUUCGCCUGGAGAGGCAGAAGAGGAGAAACCAUAGAUGUAGAGGAGAAGACUGAAUGAAGAACCACGAGAAGAUGCAGGCAUAGCUUGGAAUAAUGCUUGCAUAAGCCAAGGAACCCUUUAAGUUAUGGAGACAGGAAGAGACAAGGCACCAACCCUGCCAGCAACUUCACUUCAGACUUUGGGCUCC